AUUGAACGCUGGCGGCAUGCCUUACACAUGCAAGUCGAGCGGUAACAGGUCUUCGGAUGCUGACGAGUGGCGAACGGGUGAGUAAUACAUCGGAACGUGCCCGAGAGUGGGGGAUAACGAAGCGAAAGCUUUGCUAAUACCGCAUACGAUCUCAGGAUGAAAGCAGGGGACCGCAAGGCCUUGCGCUCACGGAGCGGCCGAUGGCAGAUUAGGUAGUUGGUGGGAUAAAAGCUUACCAAGCCGACGAUCUGUAGCUGGUCUGAGAGGACGACCAGCCACACUGGGACUGAGACACGGCCCAGACUCCUACGGGAGGCGGCAGUGGGGAAUUUUGGACAAUGGGCGCAAGCCUGAUCCAGCCAUGCCGCGUGCAGGAUGAAGGCCUUCGGGUUGUAAACUGCUUUUGUACGGAACGAAAAGACUCUGGUUAAUACCUGGGGUCCAUGACGGUACCGUAAGAAUAAGCACCGGCUAACUACGUGCCAGCCGCCGCAGUAACAC
rnacentral:rRNA from 1 species